rnacentral:rRNA from 1 species
AUUGAACGCUGGCGGCAGGCCUAACACAUGCAAGUCGAACGAGUGGAUGACGGGUGAGUAAUGUCUGGGAAAAUGCCUGAUGGAGGGGGAUAACUACUGGAAACGGUAGCUAAUACCGCAUAACAUCAGAUGUGCUCAGAUGGGAUUAGCUUGUUGGUGGGGUAACGGCUAACCAAGGCGACGAUCCUGAGCUGGACUGAGAGGCGGACCAGCCACACUGGAACUGAGACACGGUCCAGACGCCUACGGGAGGAAGCAGUGGGGAAUAUUGCACAAUGGGCGCAAGCCUGAUGGAGCCACGCCGCGUGUAUGAAGAAGGCCUUCGGAUUGUAAAGUACUGUCAUCGGGGAGGCGUUACCCGAAGAAGAAGCACCGGCUAACUCCGUGCCAGCAGCCGCGGUAAUAC